GAUGAACGCUGGCGGCGUGCCUAAUACAUGCAAGUCGAGCGAACGGACGAGAAGCUUGCUUUUCUGAUGUUAGCGGCGGACGGGGGAGUAACACGUGGAUAACCUACCUAUAAGACUGGGAUAACUUCGGGAAACCGGAGCUAAUACCGGAUAAUAUUUUGAACCGCAUGGUUCAAAAGUGAAAGACGGUCUUGCUGUCACUUAUAGAUGGAUCCGCGCUGCAUUAGCUAGUUGGUAAGGUAACGGCUUACCAAGGCAACGAUGCAUAGCCGACCUGAGAGGGUGAUCGGCCACACUGGAACUGAGACACGGUCCAGACUCCUACGGGAGGCAGCAGUAGGGAAUCUUCCGCAAUGGGCGAAAGCCUGACGGAGCAACGCCGCGUGAGUGAUGAAGGUCUUCGGAUCGUAAAACUCUGUUAUUAGGGAAGAACAUAUGUGUAAGUAACUGUGCACAUCUUGACGGUACCUAAUCAGAAAGCCACGGCUAACUACGU
rnacentral:rRNA from 1 species